AUUGAACGCUGGCGGCAGGCCUAACACAUGCAAGUCGAACGAGUGGCGGACGGGUGAGUAAUGUCUGGGACACUGCCUGAUGGAGGGGGAUAACUACUGGAAACGGUAGCUAAUACCGCAUACCAUCGGAUGUGCCCAGAUGGGAUUAGCUUGUUGGUGGGGUACCGGCGCACAAAGGCGACGAUCCCUAGCUGGUCUGAGAGGAUGACCAGCCACACUGGAACUGAGACACGGUCCAGACUCCUACGGGAGGAAGCAGUGGGGAAUAUUGCACAAUGGGGGCAAGCCUGAUGCAGCCAUGCCGCGUGUAUGAAGAAGGCCUUCGGGGUGUAAAGUACUUUCAGCGGGGAGGCGUUACCCGCAGAAGAAGCACCGGCUAACUCCGUGCCAGCAGCCGCGGUAAUUC
rnacentral:rRNA from 1 species